rnacentral:rRNA from 1 species
UACGGAGGGUGCAAGCGUUGUUCGGAAUCACUGGGCGUAAAGGGCGUGUAGGCGGCCUGUUAAGUCUGAUGUGAAAUCCCCUCGCUCAACGAGGGAACUGCGUCGGAAACUGGCAGGCUCGAGUACCGGAGAGGAAGGUGGAAUUCCCGGUGUAGCGGUGAAAUGCGCAGAUAUCAGGAAGAACACCAACGGCGAAGGCAGCUCGCUGGGACGGUACUGACGCUGCGACGCGAAAGCGUGGGGAGCGAACAGG